UGGCAUUCUGAAAUACCUCAAAUGGAAAAAUAUUGCAAGAAAUGGUGGAGAAGACUCUUCUUUCUCAUCUCUGACUCCCUUCUCAGCAAAUUCAACAAAAACAGGAAUAGUAUAAAGAACACUCUCUCAAGAGCUAAAAACUAAAAAUACUAUUAGUGAGUUCUUGUGAAUCUUCUUUCUCAAUUUGUUUUUUCUGCAUUGAAAUUUACCCAAAAUAAAACUCUUUAUCAUAUAUUCUUCCUAACCCACUUUUCUUGAGAAUCCUCACUAUCAAUCCACACAAACACCACUCUAGCUCACUUCUAAACAAAAGUGCAAAAGGGAAACAUAAAAGUAAAAUGCAAGAAAGGGUGAGAGUAAAGCAGAUUCAAUAUAAUGAAAGCGAAAGUUCCACAAUGUUUAAGGAAUAGCUUCUUCCGAGAGGAAGGCAUCACUGAAAAGGGACAUUAUUUAUGAAAUAAUAUUGGAGAUCCAAUAACAAUAAUAUUUUUUAAUAUUUCGUUUUGUAUAAUUUGAAUUUAUGUUGAAAUCACAUCUCCACUUUUAAGCAUGAUUAUUAAUAUUUUUUUAUCACAUUUUAUUUAGUUACUUUCAAAUUAUUAUUAAGCUUGCAAUAGGAUUCUUGAGAACUAGACAUACAUUUCCAAGACAAACCUAACAUUCUGUAAAAUAGUUAAUUAUCCUCCUUUUCCUUAUAUUUUUGCACGAGGAAAGUUUCCACACAAAGGUUAUGUAAAAUUCAUAAUUGAUCAUUGGCAAAACAUUUUCAAGAUGCUUCUUUAGGAUAAAGGUGAUGCCAUGUUCAUUCAUCAUUAAGUUUUAGAAGCCUUAUUAAAAUUUGAGAUAGUAAAGAGUCAAAUAUUUAUGAGUACCUGGUCCAAUCGAACCUUAUUAAGACAAGUUUUGAGUAAUAUAAUUGAAUUUGGGACAUGUUCGGAUUUGAAGAAUUUUGUUCAUUAGAUACCCAUUAUUCGAGCUUGUUUAUAUAAAUAAAUAAUUAAAUAUAAAAUAUAAAAAAGUUUAAUAUAUUACACAUUAUACAAUCAAUAAAUUGUCAA
rnacentral:misc_RNA from 1 species